rnacentral:rRNA from 1 species
CGUCAAAUCAGCACGGCCCUUACGUCCGGGGCGACACACGUGUUACAAUGGGGGGUACAGAGGGCAGCGACCAUGCGAAUGGAAGCCAAUCUCGAAAGCCUCUCUCAGUUCGGAUCGGAGUCUGCAACUCGACUCCGUGAAGUUGGAUUCGCUAGUAAUCGCGCAUCAGCCAUGGCGCGGUGAAUACGUUCCCGGGCCUU